AUGUGAAUCUGCGCUCUUGUGGCGCCCAAUUGUGGUCUAUAGACUUUAACGUUAUCUGCCGGGCCAAGUUCCUUGGAAAAGGACAGCUGAGAGGGUGAGACUCCCGUCCGCCUGGUAGAGUGAGUUAUUGUCAACGAGUCGAGUUGUUUGGGAUUGCAGCUCUAAUUUGGUGGUAAAUUCCAUCUAAAGCUAAAUAUUGGUGGGAGACCGAUAGCGUACAAGUACCGUGAGGGAAACAGGCAAAGAACUUUGAAAAGAGAGUUAAAGAGUACCUGAAAUUGCGGAAACGGAAGCGAAGGAAACCAGUGUUUGUUGGUUCAUAUUUCCCUGGCCACUUGUGGUUUGGGCGCUGUGAGCUUGAGUGGGUUUGCUUUGGUUGAUCCCUUUGCAAGAGCGCCAGUCAGAGUUGUACGCCUGUAAGUCUAGCUACUGGAGUUUGACUAAUGCAGAUUUCCAACAGGGUAUUCUUGUACCCCGUCGUUCAAACACGGACCACUAGGUAGUCUAACAUGGAAGUUACCACCAGAGUACAGCGGUGUCAAACUCCCGGUGCGUAACGAAAGUCGACAGCGGUUGGACUAUAACUCAUUGCUACAAUGCCGACGGCAGUCUCAAUCCUCUCGGGAGAACGGUCCUUUGAGUGUGAGCAUACAUGUUGGGACCCGAAAGAUGGUGAACUAUGCCUGAAUAGGGUGAAGCCAGGGGAAACUCUGGUGGAGG
rnacentral:rRNA from 1 species